GAUCAUGGCUCAGGAUGAACGCUAGCUACAGGCUUAACACAUGCAAGGUCGGGGGGCAGCAUGAGAUUAGCUUGCUAAUCUGAUGGCGACCGGCGCACGGGUGCGUAACACGUAUCCAAUCUACCCAUGGCUCGGGGAUAGCCUUUCGAAAGAAAGAUUAAUACCCGAUGGUCUGCGAUUGAGACAUCUCGAUUGCAGUAAAGACUUGUCGGCGAUGGAUGGGGAUGCGUCCGAUUAGCUAGUUGGCGGGGUAACGGCCCACCAAGGCGACGAUCGGUAGGGGUUCUGAGAGGAAGGUCCCCCACACUGGAACUGAGACACGGUCCAGACUCCUACGGGAGGCAGCAGUGAGGAAUAUUGGUCAAUGGGCGAUGGCCUGAACCAGCCAAAGUAGCGUGAGGGACGACGGCCCUACGGGUUGUAAACCUCUUUUGUAUGGGAAUAAAGUGACGGCACGUGUGUCCUUUUGUAUGUACCUUACGAAUAAGCAUCGGCUAAUUCCGUGCCAGCCGCCGC
rnacentral:rRNA from 1 species